rnacentral:rRNA from 1 species
GAUGAACGCUGGCGGCGUGCUUAACACAUGCAAGUCGAACGAUGAAGCCCAGCUUGCUGGGUGGAUUAGUGGCGAACGGGUGAGUAACACGUGAGUAACCUGCCCUUUACUCUGGGAUAAGCCUGGAAAACUGGGUCUAAUACCGGAUACGACCAUUGCCCGCCUGGGUUGGUGGUGGGAAGCUUUUGUGGUUUUGGAUGGACUCGCGGCCUAUCAGCUUGUUGGUGAGGUAAUGGCUCACCAAGGCGACGACGGGUAGCCGGCCUGGGAGGGUGAACGGCCACACUGGGACUGAGACACGGCGCAGACUGCUACGGGAGGCAGCAGUGGGGAACAUUACACAAUGGGCGAAAGCCUGAUGCAGCGACGCCGCGUGAGGGAUGACGGCCUUCGGGUUGUAAACCGCUUUCAGUAGGGAAGAAGCGAGAGUGACGGUACCUGCAGAAGAAGCGCCGGCUAACUACGUG